UUUGAUCAUGCAUCAUAUUGAACGCUGGCGGCAUGCUUUACACAUGCAAGUCGAACGGUAACAGGCCGCAAGGUGCUGACGAGUGGCGAACGGGUGAGUAAUGCAUCGGAACGUGCCCAGUCGUGGGGGAUAAACGCAGCGAAAGCUGCGCUAAUACCGCAUACGAUCUGCGGAUGAAAGCGGGGGACUUCGGGCCUCGCGCGAUUGGAGCGGCCGAUGUCAGAUUAGGUAGUUGGUGGGGUAAAGGCUCACCAAGCCGACGAUCUGUAGCUGGUCUGAGAGGACGACCAGCCACACUGGGACUGAGACACGGCCCAGACUCUACGGGAGGCAGCAGUGGGGAAUUUUGGACAAUGGGGGCAACCCUGAUCCAGCAAUGCCGCGUGCAGGAAGAAGGCUUCGGGUUGUAAACUGCUUUUGUACGGAACGAAAAGGCUCUGGUUAAUACCUGGGGCACAUGACGGUACCGUAAGAAUAAGCACCGGCUAACUACGUGCCAGCAGCCGCGGUAAUACGUAGGGUGCGAGCGUUAAUCGGAAUUACUGGGCGUAAAGCGUGCGCAGGCGGUGCUGUAAGACAGGCGUGAAAUCCCCGGGCUUAACCUGGGAAUGGCGCUUGUGACUGCAGUGCUGGAGUGUGGCAGAGGGGGAUGGAAUUCCGCGUGUAGCAGUGAAAUGCGUAGAUAUGCGGAGGAACACCGAUGGCGAAGCAAUCCCCUGGCCUGCACUGACGCUCAUGCACGAA
rnacentral:rRNA from 1 species